rnacentral:misc_RNA from 1 species
GAUGAAGAACGUAGCGAAAUGCGAUAAGUAAUGUGAAUUGCAGAAUUCAGUGAAUCAUCGAAUCUUUGAACGCACAUUGCGCCCGCUGGUAUUCCGGCGGGCAUGUCUGUUCGAGCGUCAUUUCAACCCUCAAACCCCCGGGUUUGGUGUUGGGGAUCGGCUCUGCCUCACGGCGGUGCCGCCCCCGAAAUACAUUGGCGGUCUCGCUGCAGCCUCCAUUGCGUAGUAGCUAACACCUCGCAACUGGAACGCGGCGCGGCCAUGCCGUAAAACCCCAACUUCUGAAUGUUGACCUCGGAUCAGGUAGGAAUACCCGCUGAACUUAAGCAUAUCAAUAAGCGGAGGA